rnacentral:rRNA from 1 species
UACGGGGGGGAGCAAGCGUUGUUCGGAUUUACUGGGCGUAAAGGGCGCGUAGGCGGCGCAACAAGUCACUUGUGAAAUCUCCGGGCUUAACCCGGAGCGGCCAAGUGAUACUGUCGUGCUAGAGUGCGGAAGGGGCUACUGGAAUUCUCGGUGUAGCGGUGAAAUGCGUAGAUAUCGAGAGGAACACCUGCGGCGAAGGCGGGUAGCUGGGCCGACACGUGACGCUGAGGCGCGAAAGCCAGGGGAGCGAACGGG